UACGGGGGGGGCAAGCGUUGUUCGGAAUUACUGGGCGUAAAGGGCCCGUAGGCGGCCAACUAAGUCAGACGUGAAAUCCCUCGGCUUAACCGGGGAACUGCAUCUGAUACUGGAUGGCUUGAGUUCGGGAGAGGGAUGCGGAAUUCCAGGUGUAGCGGUGAAAUGCGUAGAUAUCAGGAAGAACACCCGUGGCGAAGGCGGCUCUCUGGGACGGUACUGACGCUGAGACGCGAAAGCGUGGGGAGCGAACAGG
rnacentral:rRNA from 1 species